rnacentral:rRNA from 1 species
GAUGAACGCUAGCUACAGGCUUAACACAUGCAAGUCGCGGGGCAGCAUGGGGGUUGCUUGCAAUCCCCGAUGGCGACCGGCGCACGGGUGAGUAACGCGUAUCCAACCUGCCCUUCACCACGGGAUAACCCGGCGAAAGUCGGACUAAUACCGUAUGUUGUCCAUUGACGGCAUCCGAUUUGGGCGACAGGCUUGGCGGGGAGGGGUGGGGAGGCGUCCGAUUAGCCAGACGGCGGGGUAACGGCCCGCCGUGGCUACGAUCGGUAGGGGUUCUGAGAGGAAGGUCCCCCACACUGGAACUGAGACACGGUCCAGACUCCUACGGGAGGCAGCAGUGAGGAAUAUUGGUCAAUGGGCGUAAGCCUGAACCAGCCAAGUAGCGUGCAGGAUGACGGCCCUAUGGGUUGUAAACUGCUUUUAUGCGGGGAUAAAGUGGCCCACGUGUGGGCUUUUGCAGGUACCGCAUGAAUAAGGACCGGCUAAUUCCGUG